rnacentral:lncRNA from 1 species
CCUGAGGCUUCCUACUUUGCCUUCCUCUUAUUUACCACCUCCUUCUGUGAACAUCCUUGAAAUGGAAAAACAGACAGUUGGGAACACCUGCCUGUCGACAUUUUCUGUGGUGUUUCCCCAAAACUGGUGAACUCUGAGGCUGCAGGUGGAAGGAUGACUCUCGAUGUCUGAAGGUGGAGUAUGGAAGCAUGAAUUUGCUCACAGGUCUCAUCCUCUCCCAGCAGCUACCCAGGAACAUCUGCUCUAAAGAGGAAAGAGGCACAGAUUCAUCAGCCUAGAUCCAAGGAAGGAUGUGGGCUUUGCUUUCUCCAUUUCUACACACCCAGGCCUUCGAGGGGAGCCCAGAGUCCUGGGCAGGUACCUGCAUCUGUACAGUGCCAGCAGAAGG